rnacentral:rRNA from 1 species
AUCGGCGACUUUACUGAGGAGGUAACACCCGUUCCCAUUCCGAAUACGGAAGUUAAGCUCUUUUAGGUCGAUGGUACUUAGGUCGCAAGGCUUAGGGAGAGUAGAACGUUGCCGGUU